UACCUUCAUCUCUAUACAGCAAAUUCAACUCAUUGUAGAGAGACGGAAGUAGGUCAAAAGAACCGAAGGAAUGCACC
rnacentral:ncRNA from 17 species